AGAGGCUCGGCCCGGGCGCCGGCGUCUGAGUUGUCUGUGGUCGCGUUUCAGGGCUCACGGGUCCGGCUGCCGCCACCAUGGGGAAGCGACAACACCAGAAGGACAAGAUGUAUAUUACCUGUGCUGAAUACACUCACUUUUAUGGUGGCAAGAAGCCAGAUCUCCCACAAACAAAUUUCCGUCGUUUACCUUUUGACCACUGCAGUCUCUCCCUACAGCCUUUUGUCUACCCAGUCUGCACCCCUGAAGGCGUCGUCUUUGACUUGCUGAGCAUUGUUCCGUGGCUUAAGAAGUACGGGACCAACCCCAGCAAUGGAGAGAAACUGGAUGGGAGGUCCUUGAUCAAGCUGAACUUUGCCAAGAACAGUGAGGGAAACUACCACUGCCCAGUGCUGUUCACCGUGUUCACCAACAACACCCACAUUGUGGCCAUCAGGACGACUGGCAACGUCUAUGCCUAUGAGGCAGUGGAGCAGCUAAACAUCAAGGCCAAGAACUUCCGAGACCUACUGACAGAUGAGCCCUUCUCCCGGCAGGACAUCAUCACCCUGCAGGACCCCACCAAUUUGGACAAGUUCAAUGUCUCCAACUUCUUUCAUGUUAAGAAUAACAUGAAAAUGAUAGAUCCAGAUGAAGAGAAGGCCAAACAGGACCCAUCUUAUUAUUUGAAGAACAUGAACACUGAGACACGGGAGACCCUGCAGGAGCUCUACAAGGAGUUCAAAGGGGACGAGAUUCUGGCUGCCACCAUGAAGGUCCCGGAGAAGAAGAAAGUGGACAAGCUAAAUGCUGCCCACUACUCCACAGGGAAGGUCAGCGCCUCCUUCACCUCUACUGCCAUGAUUCCGGAGACCACACACGAAGCAGCUGCCAUUGACGAGGACGUGCUGCGCUAUCAGUUUGUCAAGAAGAAGGGCUACGUGCGGCUGCACACCAGCAAGGGCGACCUCAACCUGGAGCUGCACUGUGACCUGACACCGAAAACCUGUGAAAACUUCAUCAGGCUUUGCAAGAAGGGUUAUUACGACAGCACCAUCUUUCACAGAUCCAUCAGGAACUUCGUGAUCCAAGGGGGUGACCCCACGGGCACAGGCACAGGUGGGGAGUCAUACUGGGGGAAGCCCUUCAAAGAUGAGUUCCGGCCCAACCUCUCGCACACGGGAAGGGGCAUCCUCAGCAUGGCCAACUCUGGGCCCAACAGCAACAAGUCUCAGUUCUUCAUCACAUUCCGGUCCUGUGCUUACCUGGAUAAGAAGCACACCAUCUUCGGGAGGGUUGUUGGGGGCUUUGACACACUGACAGCGAUGGAGAAUGUGGAGAGUGACCCCAAAACUGACCGCCCUAAGGAGGAGAUCUGCAUCGAGGCCACGACGGUGUUUGUGGACCCGUACGAGGAGGCUGAUGCUCAGAUUGCUGAGGAGCGGAAGAAGACCCAGUUGGAGGUGGCCCUGGAGACCACAGUGAAGACUAGCCAGCCACAGGCCGGGAGCCAGGGCCCCCAGACGUUCCGCCAGGGGGUGGGCAAGUACAUCAGCCCAGCAGCCACAAAACGAGCAGCAGAAGAAGAGCCAUCCACCAGUGCAGCCAUCCCCUUGGCCAAGAAAAAGCCCAGCCGAGGUUUUGGGGACUUCAGUUCCUGGUAGCAGCAGUCGGUGGCUCUGGGUUCCGCAAGUCCAACAGCUGCGACUUCCAGAAUGUACCAUUGCUGAUGCUGAAGCUGCAGGCACAGCCCUUUGUCUCUCCGGACUGCCCCCACCCCACUUGUCCACACACUGCCCUGCACCAAGCUCGGCAGUCCCUUGUCACUGCACCAUGCCAGCUGCUGGCCUUCCUUGCUGCUGGGAAGGUGUGUGCCUCUGCAGCCGGCCCAGCAGGCUAGCUCCGAUGUGCAGGGAUGUGUCAGGCCUGAGUCCACAAGGAAGCAUCUUGCUGGGCCACAGCCAAGUGCAGAGGCUCACGGAGCUGUACACUGGUUCCCCACCUUUGCCGAGCUGCGGACAUGCUUAAAGAAACUUCAGUAGCUGUCACUCCUGCCGACUCGAUGCGUCUCAGUGGUGAGCCAGGCAGGCCACAGCCCAGGGCAGUGGCAGAGAGGGUGCCCAGGAGGAUGCUCAGGGUGAGUGGUGGGUCAGAGCUGUGUUGAGGCAGGGGCUGGGGUGAGGGUCCUUAUCUGCUCACACUGUCACUAGGCUAGCCUUGUCAGAGGGCACUUUCAGAGCCAUCUGCCAGGCUGAGGGACAUCUAGCUCAGGAUUCUCCCAACCUCCCCAGCCUUCUGCCUACUUCUCUGCCCUGAGUCAGGUCAAAAUGUUGAAAGCCAGACCUUAUUGGGAAUGAUUUUUGGCCUCUAUAUUCUCUGCAAAUUGCCAAAACCCUCUUGUAGUGCACUCCCCAUAGAGGCAUGGUAGACAGGUGGGUUGUAACUUAAAAUGUGUGGCAAAGGAGAUUAGGAGAUUGCACAAGUCCCCUCUGCAGCUCAUGUGACAGUACCAGACAGGGAGGGGGUAACUUCCUCUAGCAAACCAGACAUCUUCAUUUACAAGGUUAAAACCUAUCUUGCAAUUUUAACUUUUUCUGAAAAAAAUUUAAAACAAUGUGGCAAAUCAAGUUUUGAAGUUUUUCCUGUGGCUUCUGGCCUCUUUCAUAUUCAAAAAUAAUUUCUUUUUCUUCAAGUACAUCAGGGUAGAAAAUGAAAUCCAACUUUGCCUCUGUCCAGUGUGCUACCAUGGAAGGUGCAACCCCUGGCACCAGCCCCCACAAGGCUGUCAACUCCGUAAUGGUACCUCCACAGGCCCCUGGGACAGUCUUCUGUAAGGACUCAUUCAUUUGCUUUCUAGAUAAGGGAUCUAUUGGCUUAAAUAAACAAGAUGUUCCACUAGACACAUUUCUCUAUUUAUAGCUUAAACUAAAAUGUUAUCAGUGCUGUCCUUUGUUUUUGAACAGGCUAAAACGUAAAACACCCUUAGUAUAUAAGUUUGUUGACUGAAUCAGAAAUAUUCUAAAUGAACACUAUGCCUUAACAAUUCAUCUGCAAGAGGAAUAACCAAUCUGUAGUUUUGUGAAUUAGGGAAAAAAGGGGGGGGGGCUACAACACCUUCACCCUAAAAAAGGGAGAGGUGAAAUGUGCUCUCCAAAGAGACCCUGACCCCGUGGCCGUGAAGCCUUCAUUUGGUUUUCUACUGGACCUACAAAAGCACAGCCAAACUCUGCUGAGGGCACAGGUUAGAAGAUAUUAACUAGGCAGGUAAGUCAUCAGUUGCUUAAAUCUUUCUCUAAAACUUGGGAAGUUAGAAACAAGCAUACGUGUGAAGAAGACCUAGCUCAGAGGAAGCCCUUACCUAAGGAGGUGGCCUGCGGGGUCCAAGUGUCCAAAGCUACUCGCGCGUCUACACUGUGAGCUCAAAGUUCAAGAAACGCUGUCAUCCAGGAUGUUCCUAUGUUUCUGUUGCAUUCACAGUUUCUUUCACAAAAUAGUAUUCAAAAGAGAAUGGAAAGUUUUCUCUUUACUCCCAACCAUUGUCUUUGAUCAUGUGAGCAAGCUCAAUAAUAAACUUUCCUUCUUUAUA